AGAGUUUGAUCCUGGCUCAGGAUAAACGCUGGCGGCGCACAUAAGACAUGCAAGUCGAACGAACAGAAGCUAAUUCUUAACGAUUUAGUGGAAGUUAGUGGCGGACUGGUGAGUAACGCGUGAGCAACCUACCUAUAAGAGGGGGAUAACAGUUAGAAAUGACUGCUAAUACCGCAUAAGCUGAUAAUACUGCAUGGUAUAGUCAGAAAAGGAGCAAUCCGCUAAUAGAUGGGCUCGCGUCCGAUUAGCUAGUUGGUGGGGCAAAGGCCUACCAAGGCGACGAUCGGUAGCCGGACUGAGAGGUUGAACGGCCACAUUGGGACUGAGAUACGGCCCAGACUCCUACGGGAGGCAGCAGUCGGGAAUAUUGCGCAAUGGAGGAAACUCUGACGCAGUGACGCCGCGUAUAGGAAGAAGUUUUUCGGAAUGUAAACUAUUGUCGUUAGGGAAGAGGAAGGACGGUACCUAAGGAGGAAGCCCCGGCUAACUAUGUGCCAGCAGCCGCGGUAAUACAUAGGGGGCGAGCGUUAUCCGGAAUUAUUGGGUGUAAAGGGUGCGUAGACGGGGAAUUAAGUUAGUUGUGAAAUCCCUUGGCUCAACUGAGGAACUGCAACUAAAACUGAUUAUCUUGAGUACUGGAGAGGAAAGUGGAAUUCCUAGUGUAGCGGUGAAAUGCGUAGAUAUUAGGAGGAACACCGGUGGCGAAGGCGACUUUCUGGACAGAAACUGACGUUGAGGCACGAAAGUGUGGGGAGCAAACAGGAUUAGGUACCCUGGUAGUCCACACUGUAAACGAUGGA
rnacentral:rRNA from 1 species